rnacentral:rRNA from 1 species
AAAACAUCGCCUCUUGUAAAUAUCAAAUAAGAGGCCCCGCCUGCCCUGUGACUAUAUGUUUAACGGCCGCGGUAUCUUGACCGUGCAAAGGUAGCGCAAUCAAUUGUCUUUUAAAUGGAGACCUGUAUGAAUGGCGUAACGAGGGCUUGACUGUCUCCUUUUCUCAGUCAAUGAAAUUGAUCUCCCCGUGCAGAAGCGGGGGUAAACACAUAAGACGAGAAGACCCUGUGGAGCUUUAGACGCUAGGGCAGACUAAUGUUAAAUUAUCCUCUCAAAGAAUAACACCUAAAACCCCUGCCCCCAUGUCUUUGGUUGGGGCGACCAUGGAGUAAAGAGCAACCUCCACGUGGAAUAAGAGUACUACUCCCUAAAACUAGGGCCACCACCCUAUUUGUCAGAAUUUCUGGCCUUAUAGAUCCGGCUUAAGCCGAUUAACGAAUUGAGUUACCCCAGGGAUAACAGCGCAAUCUCCUUUAAAAGACCAUAUCUAAAAGGGGGUUUACGACCUCGAUGUUGGAUCAGGACAUCCUAUUGGUGCAGCCGCUAUUAAGGGUUCGUUUGUUCAACGAUUAAAGUC